UUUCACUUCAAAACUGAAGAGGGCCUGAGAGUUUUUUUCUCGCAUCGCGAGCUUUGAGCGAACACCUCUUAUUUGAGAUAGGAUACAUGUCGUAGAAAAUACUGCCAGAGAGGCAGAAGAAGAAAAAAGAAUACGGAGAAAAAAGAGGAAGACGAUACAUGAAAUGAUGGACUUUGAUCAUAUUUGGGUUGGCUCCGUAUCGUCUGAUCCGUACGUACCCCUGAAGUGCGGAUCAAUAAUGUUCAGUGCCAGGUGGAUGCACAAUCGUGUAGAUUAGAUGACUAAGAUACCUUCGAAAACCGUUGAAAAUGAACGAGAGAUGUGUUUGGGUUUUGAGUAAAUAUGGAAGUAGAUUUUGAAUAACGACAGAGGUGGAAGUUUGGAGAAAGUUUCUUCGGCUAGAAAUCAUCAUCAUAAUCAUCAUCAUCGUCGUCGUCGUCGCCGCCUUCAUCUUCCUCCACUUUCCCUUCAUGAUCGAAUGAUUUGUCGGUUGGAUUACUUAAGCGAAAUUCGAGGGUCCUCCUAGCGAUGUAUUUACGGUUGGAAGGAAUUGAAGUGCAACGUCGUAUCGGGCAGGCACGCUUUGAUUCCAAGGGAAUGGAAACUGCGCCAUGAUAUACUUCCAGUGUUCACGGAUCGUUGCACAAAUAACGCAUGUGUACAUCGUCUACUAGAAACUAGUAACAGAGACAAAAAGAAGAAGAACGAUGGGAAAAAACCGAGGUUGACGAUGACGAAGAUCAUGAUAUGGAGGAGAAAGGAAGGGAAAGGAAAAAGAAAAAAGUGGAAAAGCGUGAUCGUGAUUACAAACCAAGGCAGCUGAUGGGGGACAGUCAGCAAGUUGUAAUCGAUAAAACGACGUCCGUCGUUUGAAGAGAAAUGAGAAGACGCCAGAGCAAACCAUAUAGCAUACCAAGUUAUCGUCAGGAAAUGAAACUUUCGAGUAGCUCGAAGUUAAUUGCUAAAGUAUAUACAUACGUGCACACUACUAACAUCGCCUGCUGUUACACUUCAGUUUGAGAAAUUUUUCUAAUCAUCAGAAAACGA
rnacentral:lncRNA from 1 species